rnacentral:tRNA from 3 species
GCGCGGAUGGAGAAACGGUAGACUUGCCAUCUUGAGGUGGUGGUGCCGAAAGGCAUGGGGGUUCAAGUCCCCCUCCGCGCACCA